CCCAGAGCUCCAACGGCGUGAGCGAAGUGGCGGGAAACAUAGCAAGCGCACAGAAAAGAGGAGAAGUGGAGAAGAAUAUGGAGAACAACAACAGGUACACAAGAAUUCUUUCUGCUCCUACAGAAGUUUGUUAUUCCAAUUUGAGAUCAUCACUUCACAGACUACUGACAGGGAGUGCCGUGAUGAAGAUGCCAUCACGUGGGAGG
rnacentral:lncRNA from 1 species